rfam:Rattus norvegicus chromosome 11, whole genome shotgun sequence.
GGGGAUUUGGCUCAGUGGUAGAGCGCUUGCCUAGGAAGCGCAAGGCCCUGGGUUCGAUUCCCAGCUCCG